rnacentral:rRNA from 1 species
UGAGCUGUGGAUAGCGGAGAAAUUCCAAUCGAACUCGGAGAUAGCUGGUUCUCCUCGAAAUAGCUUUAGGGCUAGCGUCGGGUAAUUGAGUAGUGGAGGUAGAGCACUGAAUGGGCUAGGGGCUGACAACAGUUACUGAACCCUAUCAAACUCCGAAUGCCAUAUACUUGUACCCCGGCAGUCAGACUACGAAUGAUAAGAUCCGUGGUCAAAAGGGAAACAGCCCAGACCAUCAGCUAAGGUCCCAAAGUGUAAGUUAAGUGGGAAAGGAUGUGGGAUUUCUAAGACAACUAGGAUGUUGGCUUAGAAGCAGCCACUCAUUUAAAGAGUGCGUAAUAGCUCACUAGUCGAGAGAUCCUGCGCCGAAGAUGUAACGGGGCUCAAACUUACCACCGAAGCUAUGGAUGUGUACUUUGUACACGUGGUAGAGGAGCUUUCUGUACAGGUUGAAGUCAUACCGUAAGGAGUGGUGGACAGUACAGAAGUGAGAAUGCUGGCAUAAGUAGCGAAAAACAAGUGAGAAUCUUGUUGACCGAAUAUCUAAGGUUUCCUGGGGAAGGCUCGUCCUCCCAGGGGUAGUCGGGACCUAAGCCGAGGCCGAAAGGCGUAGGUGAUGGACAACUGGUUGAUAUUCCAGUACCACCAUAAUGCGUUUGACAAAUGGGAUGACGCAGGAGG